rnacentral:tRNA from 1 species
GCAGUGGUGGUUCAGGGGUAGAACUCUCACCUGCUAGGUGGGAGACCCAGGUUUGAUUCCCAGCCAGUGCA